rnacentral:lncRNA from 1 species
AUGGUCAACGUACCUAAACCCGAAGAACCUUUGUAAGCAUCACCUGACGAAGUGACACAGUAUAAGAAGGGCAAGGAUUCAUCGUAUGCCCAGGGAAAGAGGUGCUAUGAUCAGAAGCAGAGUGGCUAUGGUGGGCAGACAAAGCCAAUUUUCUGGAAGAAGGCUAAGACCACAAAGAAGGUUGUGCUAAGGCUGGAAUGUGUUGAGCCUAACUGCAGAUCCAAGAGGAUGCUGGCCAUUAACAGAUGCAAGCAUUUUGAACUGGGAGGAUAUAAGAAAAGAAAGGACCAAGUGAUCCAGUUCUAA